UACGGAGGGGGCAAGCGUUAUUCGGAAUUAUUGGGCGUAAAGGGCGCGUAGGCGGCUAGAUGUGUCAAAGGUGAAAUCCCUCGGCUCAACUGAGGAACUGCCUUUGAAACUGUCUGGCUUGAGGCCGGGAGAGGGUAGCGGAAUUCCCAGUGUAGCGGUGAAAUGCGUAGAUAUCCGGAGGAACACCGGUGGCGAAGGCGGCUUCCUGGACCGAUUACUGACGCUGAGGCGCGAAAGCUAGGGGAGCAAACGGG
rnacentral:rRNA from 1 species